UGGGGAAUAUUGCACAAUGGGCGAAAGCCUGAUGCAGCAACGCCGCGUGAGUGAUGAAGGCCUUCGGGUUGUAAAGCUCUGUCUUUUGGGACGAUAAUGACGGUACCAAAGGAGGAAGCCACGGCUAACUACGUGCCAGCAGCCGCGGUAAUACGUAGGUGGCAAGCGUUGUCCGGAUUUACUGGGCGUAAAGGAUGCGUAGGCGGAUUUUUAAGUGAGAUGUGAAAACCCUAAGCUUAACUUGGGGACUGCAUUUCAUACUGGAAAUCUAGAGUGCGGGAGAGGAGAAUGGAAUUCCUAGUGUAGCGGUGAAAUGCGUAGAGAUUAGGAAGAACACCAGUGGCGAAGGCGAUUCUCUGGACCGUAACUGACGCUGAGGCAUGAAAGCGUGGGUAGCAAACAGGAUUAGAUACCCUGGUAGUCCACGCCGUAAACGAUGAGUACUAGGUGUAGGAGGUAUCGACCCCUUCUGUGCCGCAGUUAACACAAUAAGUACUCCGCCUGGGAAGUACGAUCGCAAGAUUAAAAACUUAAAUGAAUUUGACGGGGGUCAUAGCUGUUUU
rnacentral:rRNA from 1 species